rnacentral:tRNA from 1 species
CGGGGCGUGGCGCAGCCUGGUAGCGCACCUCGUUCGGGACGAGGGGGUCGGAGGUUCAAAUCCUCUCGCCCCGACCA